rnacentral:rRNA from 1 species
GCAAGUCGAGGGGUAACAGGAGUGCUUGCACUCGCUGACGACCGGCGCACGGGUGCGUAACGCGUAUAGAACUUACCUUUUACAGAGGGAUAGCCUUUAGAAAUGAAGAUUAAUACCUCAUGGUAUUGAGACUUGGCAUCAAGACUUAAUUAAAGAUUUAUCGGUAAAAGAUGGCUAUGCGUCCUAUUAGCUAGAUGGUAAGGUAAUGGCUUACCAUGGCGACGAUAGGUAGGGGCCCUGAGAGGGGGAUC